UUAUUCAAUUUAAUACCUCAAACGCACGUUCCGAUCACGAUUAUGUCUCUUUAACCUCAAUCGAAGUGUCAACCAUUGAAUUAGGGUUUUUCUAAUUGUUUAUCAUCGAUUGUUCAAUGAUGAACGGCGUACAAAGGACAUCCACAAUCUAACAACCGCUGCCGUUUUGCUCAUACCCACAUCUUCGAUUUAUUCCAUUUGAUUCACGUAACCGGGUUGCGUAUUUGUUAGUACAAUAACAUGCUCGUGGCAUACAUUGAUACAACACAAGUGCCUUCAACAACUACCGAUGUACAUCAAAUCGAGGAGAUUAUGAAAAAUCACUGAUCGAGCCAUUAUUUAUUUGUGGAUACAAAGGUUUCCCUGAUUAUGCUAAAUCAGACUGGAAGUCGGUUCACCAUUUGGGCUUGAUGUAAUGAAUGAUGGAAUAGUUGCUUCAUCUUUUUCUUGAUGAUACAUGGUCUGGACUAUCAUGCACUAUAACUUUGGCAAAAAACUGGAUGGGUCAGAACAGGUCAAUGCAUAAACAAGAACUGGCAAAAAACCGGAUGGGUCAGAACGGGUCAAUGCAUAAACAAGAACCAAAAGAUGAAUCUGUCAGUGUGCAACUUCUUCAGUUAGUUGAGAGCCAAUGACAAAACUUAGAAGCUAUGAUGCGGAGUAUAAAACUACUUGUUGAAGAUCGAGAUGAGUAGAUAGUUUUCUUUUCUCUUUAUUAUUGUAGUUCACACUUUGUGUUGAAUAUAUUGUUAUUUGAUUUUGGACAAACAUGUACGCCAUUUCACUAUUAAUGAUAACGAGUUUGG
rnacentral:lncRNA from 1 species